UGAGGAAUUUUCGUCAAUGGGGGAAACCCUGAACGAGCAACGCCGCGUGGAGGACGAAGACCCUCGGGUUGUAAACUCCUGUCGGACGGGACGAAAGCUGUCGAGGUCAAUACCCUUGGCAGUUGACGGUACCGUACGAGGAAGCCCCGGCUAACUUCGUGCCAGCAGCCGCGGUAAUACGAGGGGGGCAAGCGUUGUUCGGAAUUACUGGGCGUAAAGGGCGCGUAGGCGGUUUGGCAAGUCUUCCGUGAAAGCCCACGGCUCAACCGUGGAACUGCGGGCGAAACUGCCAGACUUGAGUCCGGGAGGGGGGAGUGGAAUUCCCAGUGUAGCGGUGAAAUGCGCAGAUAUUGGGAGGAACACCGGAGGCGAAGGCGUCUCCCUGGACCGGUACUGACGCUGAGGCGCGAAAGCCAGGGGAGCGAACGGGAUUAGAUACCCCCGUAGUCC
rnacentral:rRNA from 1 species